UCAGGAUAGCAUGAUGGCUGUCCUCGUAAUU
rnacentral:tRNA from 1 species